UGGGGAAUAUUGGACAAUGGGCGGAAGCCUGAUCCAGCAACGCCGCGUGAGGGAUGACGGCCUUCGGGUUGUAAACCUCUUUCAGUACCGACGAAGCGAAAGUGACGGUAGGUACAGAAGAAGGACCGGCCAACUACGUGCCAGCAGCCGCGGUAAUACGUAGGGUCCGAGCGUUGUCCGGAAUUAUUGGGCGUAAAGGGCUCGUAGGCGGUUUGUCGCGUCGGGAGUGAAAACAGCGGGCUUAACUCGUUGCUUGCUUUCGAUACGGGGCAGACUAGAGGUAUGCAGGGGAGAAUGGAAUUCCUGGUGUAGGCGGUGAAAUUGCGCAGAUAUCAGGAGGAACACCGGUGGCGAAGGCGGUUCUCUGGGCAUUACCUGACGCUGAGGAGCGAAAGUGUGGGGAGCGAACAGGAUUAGAUACCCCUGGUAGUCCACACCGUAAACGUUGGGGCGNUAGGUGUGGGGUCCUUUCCACGGAUUCCGUGCCGUAGCUAACGCAUUAAGCGCCCCGCCUGGGGGAGUACGGCCGCAAGGCUCAAAACUG
rnacentral:rRNA from 1 species